UUUGAUCAUGGCUCAGGAUGAACGCUAGCGGCAGGCCUAACACAUGCAAGUCGAGGGUAGUUACUUUCGGGUAAUGAGACCGGCGCACGGGUGCGUUAACGCGUAUGCAAUCUACCUUUUACAGGGGAAUAGCCCAGAGAAAUUUGGAUUAAUGCCCCAUAGUAUUAUUGAAUGGCAUCAUUUGAUAAUUAAAGUUCCAACGGUAUAAGAUGAGCAUGCGUCCCAUUAGUUAGUUGGUAAGGUAACGGCUUACCAAGACAAUGAUGGGUAGGGGUCCUGAGAGGGAGAUCCCCCACACUGGUACUGAGACACGGACCAGACUCCUACGGGAGGCAGCAGUGAGGAAUAUUGGUCAAUGGGCGCAAGCCUGAACCAGCCAUGCCGCGUGCAGGAAGACGGUCCUAUGGAUUGUAAACUGCUUUUAUACAGGAAGAAACCCUCCCACGUGUGGGAGCUUGACGGUACUGUAGGAAUAAGGAUCGGCUAACUCCGUG
rnacentral:rRNA from 1 species